rnacentral:rRNA from 1 species
CUAACCGUAAACGAUGACAACCAGCGAUUAGUCCGGGUGUUAAUAUUACCGACCCGAACCUAAGCAGCUUCCGGGAAACCAAAGUUUUUCGUUUCCGGGGGAAGUAUGGUUGCAAAGCUGAAACUUAAAGGAAUUGACGGAAGGGCACCACCAGGAGUGGAGCCUGCGGCUUAAUUUGACUCAACACGGGAAAACUCACCCGGCCCGGACACCGUAAGGAUUGACAGACUGAGAGCUCUUUCUUAAUUCGGUGGGUGGUGGUGCAUGGCCGUUCUUAGUUGGUGGAGCGAUUUGUCUGGUUAAUUCCGAUAACGAACGAGACUCUGGCCUAUUAAAUAGUCGGUAUAUCCGGAAAAGUUUACCGUACUUCUUAGAGGGACAAACGGCGUCUAGCCGCGUGAAAUAGAGCAAUAACAGGUCUGUGAUGCCCUUAGAUGUCCGGGGCUGCACGCGCGCUACACUGAAAGAAUCAGUAUGCGCUUUAACCUAGUCCGGAAGGAUUGGGUAACCCGAGCAAAUUCUUUCGUGCUUGGGAUAGGGAAUUGCAAUUAUUUCCCUUAAACGAGGAAUUCCCAGUAAAUGCGGGUCAUAAGCUCGCGUUG